rnacentral:rRNA from 1 species
UACGUAGGGUGCGAGCGUUAUUCGGAUUCACUGGGCGUAAAGGGUGCGCAGGCGGCCGGGUGUGUCAGAUGUGAAAUCCCGAGGCUCAACCUCGGAACUGCGUCUGAAACUACUCGGCUAGAGUACUGGAGAGGGUAACGGAAUUCACGGUGUAGCAGUGAAAUGCGUAGAUAUCGUGAGGAACACCAGAGGCGAAGGCGGUUACCUGGACAGUUACUGACGCUCAGGCACGAAAGCAUGGGGAGCAAAAGGG